AUUGUGGCAGGAUGAAUGGUAUCCCUCGGUCCAACCCACUUUCAGCCUGGCGCAUUAGGGGGCGCUAGUAUAAAUAGUGGCCAUUUGAGUGUCCCUGGAUCGCUUGCCUGUGACCUCCUUUUUGGUCACCUGACUUCCUGUUGGUGUUGCUGAGAUUAGUUGCGGGUUACUUUUCUGAAGCCUCCAUCGCAGCUGGUAGGUGUUUACUCAUUGUAGUGUAUAUAUUACUUUGCUUGAUGGUAAACAGCUAUUGUUUGUAGGUCGUAGCUGUAGAAGCCUCCUCUGAGCCAUUCUGCUUACGUUUUAUGACACGGCUUACUUGAUGCGGAGUGCUGACGUGGAGGAGACUAGGGUGCCUUGGUGGUGGGAUCCUCUGAGUGUACACACCUGCCUUGUUUAAUUUAUUAGUG